GCCGCGAUGUUGGAAUGGUAGACAAGGCAGACUUAAAAUCUUCUGCUCAUUUUGGGCGUGCGGGUUCGAGUCCCGCUCGCGGCA
rnacentral:tRNA from 1 species